CAUAUCACUGAGCGCAGGAGAAGAAACUAACCAGGAUUUCCCUAGUAACGGCGAGCGAACCGGAAAGAGCCCAGCUUGAAAAUCGUGGCGCCCCGGCGCCUCGAAUUGUAGUCUGGAGAAGGUCCCUCUGCGGCGCGCCGGACCCAAGUUCCCUGGAAAGGGACGCCAUCGAGGGUGAGAGCCCCUUUGAUUCCGGAGUGCGCCGCUCCACGAGGACCUGUCUGCGAGUCGGGCUGUUUGGGAAUGCAGCCCUAAGCGGGUGGUAAAUUCCAUCCAAGGCUAAAUAUUGGCAAGAGACCGAUAGCGAACAAGUACCGCGAGGGAAAGAUGAAAAGGACUUUGAAAAGAGAGUUAAAAAGUGCUUGAAAUUGCUGGGAGGGAAGCGAAUGGAAGCUGCGGGUGCGCCCCGGUUGGAUGUGGAACGGCCGUCGAAGGCUGGUCCGCCGCUCAACGCGGGGCGCUGGUCAGCGUGGGCCAUCGCGGCGGGACAAGAGCGGGGAUUCGUUUCCCGCCGAUGCCGCUGUGGUGGCCGAGGAACGAAGCGCGCGCCUCCGGCGUGGGACUCGUCCCAACUGCGCGCUCGGGACGCUGGCGUAUUGAGCUCUUCAUCCGACCCGUCUUGAAACACGGACCAAGGAGUCUAACAUGUAUGCGAGCCGGUGGGCGGCAAACCCAUUGAGGCGCAAGUAACCUGACAGGUGGGACCCCGACUUUUGAAGGGAGGGAGCACCAUCGACCGACCGUGAUCUUCUGUGAAGGGU
rnacentral:rRNA from 1 species